rnacentral:rRNA from 1 species
CACGUAGGCGGAUUGAUAAGUUUGAAGUGAAAUCCUAUAGCUUAACUAUAGAACUGCUUUGAAAACUGUUAAUCUAGAAUGUGGGAGAGGUAGAUGGAAUUUCUGGUGUAGGGGUAAAAUCCGUAGAGAUCAGAAGGAAUACCGAUUGCGAAGGCGAUCUACUGGAACAUUAUUGACGCUGAGAUGCGAAAGCGUGGGGAGCAAACA